UACGGGGGGGGCAAGCGUUGUUCGGAAUUACUGGGCGUAAAGGGCUCGUAGGCGGCCUUCUAAGUCAGACGUGAAAUCCCCCGGCUUAACCUGGGAACUGCGUCUGAUACUGGGAGGCUUGAGUAUGGGAGAGGGAUGUAGAAUUCCAGGUGUAGCGGUGAAAUGCGUAGAUAUCUGGAGGAAUACCAGUGGCGAAGGCGGCAUCCUGGACCAUAACUGACGCUGAGGCGCGAAAGCUAGGGGAGCAAACGGG
rnacentral:rRNA from 1 species